GACGAACGCUGGCGGCGUGCUUAACACAUGCGAGUCGAACGGAAAGGCCCUGCUUUUGUGGGGUGCUCGAGUGGCGAACGGGUGAGUAACACGUGAGUAACCUGCCCUUGACUUUGGGAUAACUUCAGGAAACUGGGGCUAAUACCGGAUAGGAGCUCCUGCUGCAUGGUGGGGGUUGGAAAGUUUCGGCGGUUGGGGAUGGACUCGCGGCUUAUCAGCUUGUUGGUGGGGUAGUGGCUUACCAAGGCUUUGACGGGUAGCCGGCCUGAGAGGGUGACCGGAAACAUUGGGACUGAGAUACGGCCCAGACUCCGACGGGAGGCAGCAGUGGGGAAUAUUGCACAAUGGGCGGAAGCCUGAUGCAGCAACGCCGCGUGCGGGAUGACGGCCUUCGGGUUGUAAACCGCUUUCGCCUGUGACGAAGCGUGAGUGACGGUAAUGGGUAAAGAAGCACCGGCUAACUACGUG
rnacentral:rRNA from 1 species